AAGUCGUAACAAGGUUUCCGUAGGUGAACCUGCGGAAGGAUCAUUAAAGAGUUCAUCGCACGUCGCUUGCGACGUGUGAACAACCAUGGGGCGAGACUGCUAUCACGUCGCCUGCGGCGAGCCUUUUUUGAAUGGCACGUCGCAAGCGACGUGAUAGCAAAUUGGGGAGGCUGGCGAGGGAUGCCGCCUGCGGCGUGCUUUUUUUGAAUGGCACGUCGCAAGCGACGUGAUAGCGCAAAUUGGCGAGGGAUAUUUACAUGCUCGUCGCAAGCGAUGUGCUUUUAAAAACACGUCGCUUGCGACGUGCGAGUAAACAUAAUGACACUAAUUCAAUACAUUAACAUUAUUUGUACCACUUUUGACAAUGGAUCUCUAGGCUCUU
rnacentral:misc_RNA from 1 species